CAGAGUUUAGCUCCUCCUUAGCAAAGACAAUUUGUUAAAACAGGAAGCUACAAGAUGGUGGGUCACUGUGAGCUCCUCCCCUAGCUCAUCCUGUUUCCUUCCUACCCUGGAUGGCAGCCUCGCAAGAAGCAGCCUCACAGUAUCUCAAGAGUGCUCUCUCUGCCUCUGUCUCUGUCUCACUCCUGCCUAACAGAAAGCAUGGUUUCUGUUGCUUGUCCUGGCUGAAUUUGAUUAUAUUGCACUGGCAGCCUCCAAAGACAGAAGCUCAUUGACGUGCGACUACACGAGGACCGAACAGUGCCUCAGCUUUGCACAGCCGAUACCGCCAGUCUAUGAUGUGUGCUGCCUUGGACAGCAUCCCAACCUGAAGUAUUUGCCAGGGUCACUCUGGCCCAGAGAUCAGAAGUGAAACUGUGCAAAGAGUGGAGUGGGUGGGGCAUGAAGGGUGUGUUUUUGUGUGUGUGUGUGUGUGUGUGUGUGUGUGUGUGUGUGUAAUAGGGUCUUUAGCUUAUCUACUUAUUCCAGUCCAAAUUGAAAUGAAUGCUGGGGUUUUGCAGGAGAGACAGAUGAUUUCUAUGAAGAAACAUCAGACUGUGAUUUUUUUUCUCUUCCGUGGAAGUUGAAAGAGCGCCCUCAGCAGACUGAGAAACUUUUGAUUCUGUGGAUGCUGCAAAGAAAUGACGGCGUCUGAGGCCAAAGGGGAUGACUUCAGAGAUGUCUCUGGUAGAGACCUACCGUGACAAAUGCUGUGAAUCUCAAGUCUCAAAAAACAUUUCUGCACUGAUCUGAUGCAAGUCACAGAGAUUCACAAUGGACAACAAUGUAGAUGGAAAGAAUGCAGCCAUGAGGGUGAACACUGUAAGAAUAGCUCUCCAGCUUAGCCCUGGAGAACUUCCAUUUCCUUCUCUUAUUUGCAGAAAUGGGGAACUAGGGGUAGAGGACGUUGUACAUGCUGUCAGACUUGGGUAGUGUGUUGGUUAGAAUGGUUGGAAAUGUUUUUUUCUUUCUCUUUUUAUUCUCUGUUGCAAAGCUAGGAGAGAGGGAGGGAUACAUUCAGAA